ACUCCUGGCGACAUCUCGACAGAUUGACACUGCUACCCCCCACCUCCCAAAAUCCCUGCAAGGCUUCUCAUUUCAAAUGUGACCAUGCUCCAACACAAUGUUGGCAAGCCUAGUCUCGUGUUGGAGGAGGGGGAGGGGACUAUAAAAGCAACAUGUUCGCACAAGCAUGGCAGAGCCCAUGCAUAAACCAUUUGGUUUUGCAAUUAAAAACAGGUUUGGCUUCCCUCUGCAUCAGUAAGACAACGUCAAAGCAACAUUCGUCCUGAAAAUUUUCCCUUGUGAAUUCAAAUGAACUGGGAAACUAGAACAACGGAUCAACUUUGGUCUCUCAAAGUCUCUUCCAAAGGAUCUGCAGAGAUCCCUUUCUGCUGUACCAACACCAUGGACAAAAGCUUCAAUUUAAGUGGAGUAUGCAAAUUCAACGAGGCUAGCUGGCCACUGAACAUCAUGGACACUCCUGUUUCUGUCUCCCCAACAACAGGAUGACAAAGACAUCAACAUGUCUGGCUCGGUUUCUUUUUUAACAUGAGUUCUGGAGUGCAAGCUCUGGUCCUCAUACUUGUACAGUAAGGACUUUCCAGACUGAGCUAACUCCAGCUGAAGUUUCUUCAGGCUGGGGAGAAAGCUCCGAAAGAAAAGCACUUGCCACCUGUGGAACUGUGAGGACCAGAGUUCAGAUUCCCAGAACUCACAUAAAAAGCAGGGGUGAAGGGAUGAUCCUAACACUGAGGAGCAGCAAUGGGGAUCCUGGGAACAAGCAAGCCAGGCAGACUAGCUCCAGAGUCAGCAAGAGACCUUGUCUCAGUGCAUAAUGAAUGAGUAACUGAGGAAGACACCUGACUGACAUCAAUCUUGGAACUUUCUACUGACACCCGUGUGUCAGCACAUACACACGUAAUCGCAUACAUGUGAACACACACAUACAGGCACGAUAGAGAAGUUUCCUAAUCUAUUUGAACUCAGCUGUUCAGCUAAAACAGAAGGGACCUGUCUCACACAGUUUUGAUGACUGAUCAGUCAAUACAUUAAUUCUUACUGCAAUAACUAAACUAAUAUUGUUGCAAUUUAUGUCCUACAGAGAGCUUUUAGUUAAUACCCUAAUAUGGUACUUGAAGCUGAAAAGUUUCUGGGUAUCUGUGGUCCUAUGAGAUUAAUAUCGGGAGAGUAAUUUUGUUUUCUAUAAUAUGUUCAAAAGGCUAUGAGUUUGAUCAUAUCCAAUGUUAUUAAUCUGAUGAUGACUAACUACCUUUCAGUAAAAACUGAUAUGUUUAUGAAAUAUGGUAUUUAAAUAAUAAAGGAAGCUAAGGAGUAAAAAACAA
rnacentral:lncRNA from 1 species